rnacentral:rRNA from 1 species
UACGGGGGGAGCAAGCGUUGUUCGGAUUUACUGGGCGUAAAGGGCGCGUAGGCGGCGUGACAAGUCACUUGUGAAAUCUCCGGGCUUAACUCGGAGCGGCCAAGUGAUACUGUCGUGCUAGAGUGCGGAAGGGGCGUACUGGAAUUCUCGGUGUAGCGGUGAAAUGCGUAGAUAUCGAGAGGAACACCUGCGGCGAAGGCGGGUAGCUGGGCCGACACUGACGCUGAGGCGCGAAAGCGUGGGGAGCGAACCGG